rnacentral:rRNA from 1 species
CUAGGAUUAACGCUGGCGGCGUGCCUAAUACAUGCAAGUCGAAUGGUAGCAAUACCAUGGCGAACGGGUGAGUAACACGUAGGUAGCCUGUCUUUAAGCCGAGGAUAACCAUUGGAAACGAUGGAUAAUACUGGAUAGGACAUUUGAAGGCAUCUUUAGAUGUUUAAAGAUUUAUCACUUAGAGAGGGGCCUGCGGCGCAUUAGCUAGUUGGUGAGGUGAAGGCUUACCAAGGCGAUGAUGCGUAGCCGGACUGAGAGGUUGAACGGCCACAAUGGAACUGAGAACGGUCCAUACUCCUACGGGAGGCAGCAGUAGGGAAUUUUCGGCAAUGGGCGGAAGCCUGAACCCGAGCAACGCCGCGUGAACGAAGAAGUAUUUCGGUAUGUAAAGUUCUUUUAUUAGGGACGAAAAGACAGAUUGACGGUACCUAAUGAAUAAGCUCCGGCUAACUACGUGCCAGCCGCUGC